rnacentral:rRNA from 1 species
AUUGAACGCUGGCGGCAUGCCUUACACAUGCAAGUCGACCGGUAACAGGUCUUCGGAUGCUGACGAGUGGCGAACGGGUGAGUAAUACAUCGGAACGUGCCUAGUAGUGGGGGAUAACUACUCGAAAGAGUGGCUAAUACCGCAUGAGAUCUACGGAUGAAAGCAGGGGAUCGCAAGACCUUGUGCUACUAGAGCGGCCGAUGGCAGAUUAGGUAGUUGGUGGGAUAAAAGCUUACCAAGCCGACGAUCUGUAGCUGGUCUGAGAGGACGAUCAGCCACACUGGGACUGAGACACGGCCCAGACUCCUACGGGAGGCAGAAGUGGGGAAUUUUGGACAAUGGGCGCAAGCCUGAUCCAGCAAUGCCGCGUGCAGGAUGAAGUCCUUCGGGUUGUAAACUGCUUUUGUACGGAACGAAAAGCCCUGGGUUAAUACCCUGGGGUCAUGACGGUACCGUAAGAAUAAGCACCGGCUAACUACGUGCCAGCCGCCGCAGUAACAC